rnacentral:rRNA from 1 species
GAUGAACGCUGGCGGCGUGCCUAAUACAUGCAAGUCGAGCGAACGGACGAGAAGCUUGCUUCUCUGAUGUUAGCGGCGGACGGGUGAGUAACACGUGGAUAACCUACCUAUAAGACGGGGAUAACUUCGGGAAACCGGAGCUAAUACCGGAUAAUAUUUUGAACCGCAUGGUUCAAAAGUGAAAGACGGUCUUGCCGUCACUUAUAGAUGGAUCCGCGUUGCAUUAGCUAGUUGGUAAGGUAACGGCUUACCAAGGCAACGAUGCAUAGCCGACCUGAGAGGGUGAUCGGCCACACUGGAACUGAGACACGGUCCAGACUCCUACGGGAGGCAGCAGUGGGGAAUAUUCGGCAAUGGGCGAAAGCCUGACGGAGCAACGCCGCGUGAGUGAUGAAGGUCUUCGGAUCGUAAAACUCUGUUAUUAGGGAAGAACAUAUGUGUAAGUAACUGUGGACAUCUUGACGGUACCUAAACAGAAAGCAACGGCUAACUACGUG